GAACCUCCGUUCGCGUCGCAUUGUCCCUGCGGCUUCACUUCGUCCACCAUGCUAUGAAAUAUGAACCCUUGACUUCCCUUGUUUUCCAGGGCUUGAUGGACCUGUUGUGCAGCUACCAAAAGAUCCGACGAUGAGCUUCCAAUUUUCAGCACCUGAGAAUCAUAUGUACACCAUGUGAUAUAAUAGGACAAAAACAUUAUUGUAUAUUAACUUCAAUUACUAGUACAACAUCAUUAGACAAGAUAGAUAAGAUACACACACUUCUGUCUUCGUAUUAGAAAUUGAUAGGAGCGGUUGAAGCAUUUGACUUUUCAUAGUAUUAUUUAUUCGUCCAAGUGCUUAUCUUGAUGGUAUCUAAUAUAAUUGGUAUUCAUUCAUGGUAUCUUGUAGUUACUUGAUCAUAUUGUUAUUCAAGGGGAAAACUCUUAAAUAUAUUGAUAUGUUUUUUUUCCAUAUUCACAUUGGAUAUUCCAUAAAGAUUGCUAAACAUUUAUGUGA